rnacentral:misc_RNA from 1 species
UACGAAUCGUGCGAACGUUGUUCGGAAUCACUGGGCUUAAAGGGCGCGUAGGCGGGCGUUCAAGUCCGGGGUGAAAUCCCGCAGCUCAACUGCGGAACUGCCUCGGAUACUGGGCGUCUCGAGGGAGGUAGGGGCGUGUGGAACGUUUGGUGGAGCGGUGAAAUGCGUUGAUAUCAAACGGAACUCCGGUGGCGAAGGCGACACGCUGGGCCUCUUCUGACGCUGAGGCGCGAAAGCCAGGGUAGCGAACGGG